GUAGGUGGAGCUCAGUGGUAGAGUACAUGCUUAGCAUGUGCGAGGUCCUGGGUUCAAUUUCCAGUACCUCCA
rnacentral:tRNA from 1 species